CAGGAAUGAAUAAGUAGAAAACUCCCAGCAGUCCCCCUGCAGCAGCUACGGCCACCCGGGCCCUCCAGGGCCAUGUGAUCACCAUCAUCACAUCGCCACAAUAGGAGUCUAUUUGCUGCCAGCAGGGGGACCCCUCGAGGCACUCAGUACAGGCAGAGCAUCGGAAGCCUGUUUGAAGGCGUGACAAGUUCACCUUUUUAAAGUGUGAAUGUUCAUAGAUUGUUUUGACAUAAAAUACAAGGAGUAAUAUAAAAUGACAUAAUUAAGCGAUUUUAGAAGUUGGUAUGUUUGUCUUGUAAACUUAGUAGCCAUGAGAGAAAAUACAAUUGCCAACAACUUUUCGCCGCCAGAGAUGUUCUUUCCCUUAUUUAGGGUGAUGCUGCAACAAUCACGAUAAUCCAAGUCACGGUAUAGCUGUUCCCUACAAACAUGUUUGUACGUGCUCUUAAUCUGUGUCCCUUGUUCGGGAGCUUGUUCCCACCGAACACCGCUCCUCUUAUGCGAACCCAAUCGAAGAUAUGGAUAGAUGGAAGUCCCCGCAGUGUUCGCAUUUGCGUUCCAUGCACUCGACGGCCAAACACCGCGGUAUGCAUUGACAGCUAAAGAUGGCCUACACCACGUCUUCGCUCAUACGAAUGACAGCCACCCAGCUGACCAUUCAGAACGUUGGGUUAAUUGGGGUUACUGAGGUGAGAACAAGGGUCAACAGGGUCAAUGAGCAGCACACAACACCCCUGGGUGGUCUGGCUGUUCAGCAGUUUGGUCGGUUUAUGAACUAGAUGGGUCUCAGAGGUUCAGUGAAUCCCAUAUACCGAACCACCCAGUGUAGCAAGUAACAGAAAUUAAAAGCGGGACAAUCCACGGAUAGGGGAUCUGUCACAGUGCUCCCUCCUUGUGGAACACUCAAGCAGACUCAGUUUUACCUUUUUCGGGUCAACUUGGGGAUGCCCGGGGUUUAUUCAGUUGGUGUUCUCUGUUUGCCAGGAGAACCCGUCGGCAUUGCCGUUUUGCUUCCCUGGUCGGUAGUGGAUGGUAUACUUGUAGGGUUGCAGGGCCAAACUCCACCGUAGUAAUAGGCCAUUAUCCCCUGCGACCCGGUUUAGCCACACCAACAUUUUGUGGUUGGUAAUCAAGGUGAAUUCUUGUCCGUACAAGUAAGGAGUCAAUUUCUGUAAAGCCUAAACCAACGCCAAGCACUCCUUUUUCAUUGCCGUGUAGCUCACCUCCCUGAGUAAAAAUUUCCUGUUGAAAUACGCUACAGGGUGCUCUCCUCCAUCUUCUCCAACUUAAAACGGCCCCCAGCCUGAACAUGGAAGCGUCUGUGUGGACAAUGAAAACGUUAGUUAGGGACUAGGGCAGCCAAGACAGGGGCAUUCACUAGAGCUUGUUUGAGAGACUGAAAAGCGGCUUAACAUGCGGGAGACCACAGGAUCUGCCUGGGUAAACUCUUUUUUGUCAGGUCAGUCAGGAUUUUAGCUAUAGUGCUAUAGUCUGGUACAAAUCGCCUGUAGUACCUGGUGGUCCCUAAGAAUGCUAAUAUCUGGGUCUUGGUGCAAGUGUGGGCCAGUUAGCGACCGCUUCUAUCUCAGCGGGUUCUGGCCGCUGUUUCCCACACCCCACCUGGUGUCCCAAGUACUGGACCACUGCCAUGCCAAGAUGGCACUUGUCCAGUUUCAGAGUUAGGCCUGCGGCCCGAAUCUUAUCUAGCACUGCCCCUAUAUGAACAAAGUGUUCUUCCCAGGACUCACUGUAGAUCACAGUGUUGUCCAGGUACGCACAGGCGAAAUCCUGGAAGCCAUCGAGGAGCCUAUCCACCAUGCGCUGGAAGGUGGCCAGGGCAUUCUUCAUCCUGAAUAGCAUGACUCUAAAUUGGUACAAGCCAAACGAGGUGAUGAAGGCCGACUUGGGGAUAGCCUCUUCGGCCAGGGGAAUCUGCCAAUAUCCCUUGCAUAAGUCGAUGGUGGUCAGAUACCGUCCCCUAGCUAUACGAUCUAAUAGCUUAUCUACCCGGGGAAUGGGAUACGCAUCGGUGGUGGUCCAAACAUUCAGUCGCCUGUAGUCUACGCAGAACCGGGUGGUCCCAUCUUUCUUUGGUACAAGAACCACAGGCGAAGCCCACAGGCUGUCAGAGUGCUCGAUAACCCCUAGGUGUAGCAUCUCUUGUAUCUCCUUCUGCAUUCCUUCUCGGACUGCUUCAGGGAUAUGGUAGGGGGGCUCUCGGAGCGGGGUUUGCCCUGGCAUCUCUACUUUGUGGGCCGCUAGGGUGGUAUACCAGGGCUCUUGGAAGAUCAUCAGUUGCUUUUCUGAUAGUAAUUGUCGGGCCUGUUCUGUCUCUAGGGUCGUUAACCGGUCUCGUAUUUUAACUGAGCUGAUUAUAUCGGCUUGGGGCUCUCUCUCUAAUAAGUCGGGUAGGGAAAGGUUCUCGGGGUCAUCCCCAGUUGGGGUGCAUACAGUGGCUAUAUCUUCCUGUCUUUUUUGGUAUUCUUUCAACAUAUUUAUAUGGAAGGCUCUUUGUAUCCUUUCAUCCGCAUAGCUUGUGACUACAUAGGUGGUGUCACAGAGUUGCUCUACUACUUUGUAGGGGCCCUGCCAGGCGGCUUGCAAUUUGUCCUUUUUGACUGGCUUUAGCACAAGUACCUUUUGUCCCACCUGGAAUGUAUGCUGCCGCGCACCCCUAUCGUACCAACCCUUUUGUCACCCCUGGGCUGCCUGGAGGUUCUCCUUUAUCAUCCUGGCCAACUGCUCCAUGAGGUCCCGGAACGACAACACAUACGGCACAAUGGGAAUUCCCUUGUGUUCUUUUUCCCCUUCCCAGUGUUCUCUGAUAAGAUCAAGGGGACCACACAGGGCCGUCUUUAAGGAGGGGCAAAAGGGGCAGCUGCCCCGGGCCCAGUUACUCCUUGGGGCCCCUGCAGCACCUGAGGUAAUCAGGGGCCACAGCCCUUUAAUACUGCUCUGGACCGGGCCCUUGUAAUAUGGGGGUUGGCUGAAUACAAACACACAGCUAGCCCCUCACACACUACCCUGUGAUCCCUCUUCUUCUCCGUGGCAUGCUGGGAGGCAGUGAGGUCAGAUCACUUCCUCCUCAGUGCCCUGGGGAGGAGGCACACACC